rnacentral:rRNA from 1 species
AGGAAUGAGAAGUUGUAACAAAGUUUCCGUAGGUGAACCUAAGGAAGGAUCAUUG